rnacentral:rRNA from 1 species
UGGGGAAUUUUGGACAAUGGGCGAAAGCCUGAUCCAGCCAUGCCGCGUGAGUGACGAAGGCCUUAGGGUUGUAAAGCUCUUUUGGCGGGGAAGAUAAUGACGGUACCCGCAGAAUAAGCUCCGGCUAACUUCGUGCCAGCAGCCGCGGUAAUACGAAGGGAGCUAGCGUUGUUCGGAAUCACUGGGCGUAAAGCGCACGUAGGCGGAUUUGUCAGUCAGGGGUGAAAUCCCGGGGCUCAACCUCGGAACUGCCUUUGAUACAGCAAGUCUUGAGUUCGAGAGAGGUGGGUGGAAUUCCUAGUGUAGAGGUGAAAUUCGUAGAUAUUAGGAAGAACACCGGUGGCGAAGGCGGCCCACUGGCUCGAUACUGACGCUGAGGUGCGAAAGCGUGGGGAGCAAACAGGAUUAGAUACCCCCGUAGUCCCUGAGCGGGCUGGCAAGGCGCAU